rnacentral:misc_RNA from 1 species
UCACUAAGUCAUUUCAAUAAAAUUAUUUAUUUUAAAUAAAAUUGAAUUUUAAUUAAUAUUCUUCAAGAAAUACAAACAACAUAAAGCUGUCAAGUGUAAAUGUAGUUCUAUUUCGGUAUUUUAGAGUGCUUUUCAUUAUUUUCACUAAGUAUCGAUUACCCGUUUCACGAAAUUAAAAAAAAUAUACACAUCGGUGUUAGUACAUCACUAGUCGGCGAAAAGAAUCUUUUCAUUAUUGUAUAAUCUAUCGACUAUAGGUAUGUUCCAAUAGAUAAUUCACAUUGAAUUAAUAAGAAAGGCCCCAAAAGUCACAGAUUAAUAAAAAAUACAGACUAUUCUGUAACCUCUAAUUUUAAACAAUUAAAAUAACAAAAGUCUUGUGUCCAUUUUACUUUUUUUGACAAAUUAUUUUUAUAGUAUAUUCAGUAUGGUUGAUUAUAUUUUGGAAUAUAAUAAAAACAAUCUUAUCUAUGCGGAACAUUAGUAACAAUGGUCUUAGAUUUUUACAAACUUUAAGUAUGCUUUUAAUAUAUAUAAAAGGCAGUCAUUUAACUGUACUCAUCUUAAAUAUAGUGAAAAAUUAAUUGCACAAGAAUGUUCAAUUCGAUAUAUAAUUUGCCAUUUGUAUUGUAAUUUGGAUUGUUUUCAAAUAAUACGACCAUAUUUUUUUAAUAUUUUUAUCUCUAAUACCCUUCGAACCACCCUCUGCUUAGAAGAAGGAUGUGAAAAUAACUUACUUAUUAAAUUCGAGCGAGACGGCAUGUUGAUAGAGAGAGACAGCUAUAGAUUCGGUUUUAUCGAGUCGAUUAAAUUUUCGCAACGUAAUGUUUUGAACUUUUACGAAUUUGGGAGUAUGCGAUCGUGGUUUCUACUUUCGUAUUACAAACAGACAUCUCCAUUUCGUAAUAUGAAAAAACGAGAAGGAUGUACUGCGUAAGCGAGAGGGCGCUAUAUAACAUCAUGACAACUGUGAGUACGGUGAGCGAGACAGGUGUAUUGGAACUAUUGGAAGCGAGUGAGAGGGCGCUACACCAGUGGCAACGGAACAUUAAGACUGAUUUUAGAGUCGCGCUGACCAUCAGCACUGAUUUUAAGAGUUUACGGUUCACCUGAUGGUAAGUGGUUCCCGUAGCCUAUACACACCUGCAACACCAGAAACCAGAAGUGUUGCAAGCGCGUUGCCGACCCUGACCCUCCCUAGGAGUUCUGAGAGAUAGAUAAAAUAUAUGAAUUUCUAUAAAGUAUAUCUGAAUAAGCUGAGCGGAUUUCUAGUGUCGCGCUCAGCGGAAGUCGUUAAUUAACGCACUGCGCAUUUCUUCGCAUCUGUG